CAUGUCUGGCUAUUCACGGAUUUGAGCUGCGCGUCUCCGCUCGAGUCGCGCGUACACGGAAACCCUGGCAACUAGAGAGUGAAAAAGCAAAGGAGAGAACCUCUGGGGGGCGGGAGCGCUCCGGUACGGUGCCAGUUUUUGAAGGAGCCUGUCGGAUCGGAUGUGAACUGCCUUUGAGAGCACAACCAAGAGCUCCAAGAACAAAGAGGGAGUGGGCUGUUGAUGGAAUGAUGAAAUCCUCCUGUUCUGGGACUCACUCUGCCAGUCUUCUCCUUUGCCAGGUUGCUCAUUAAUCUCCAGGAUGAAAGGUGUCAUUAAACUGACAUGGAAAGAAGCCAUUAGUCCCUCAUGACUACUUAGGUGAUCACAGUGGAGGAGAUAUUUUAAGUUCUGUUUUUGAGUGCAUUGAAUACAUGAGAGAAGAAUCGUAAGGUUCCUGUUAGCUUUUGUUUAGAUCCCUGAUAUGGUCAGCUAUGUUGUUCUUGUGGACUUCCAUGACAGUUCAGUUGCCUUAGAGAAAGCUUAUGCAAUUAGAGAAAAAAAAUAUACU